UACGUAGGUGGCGAGCGUUGUCCGGAUUUACUGGGCGUAAAGAGCGCGCAGGCGGUCGUAUAAGUCGAAUGUGAAAGCCCCUGGCUCAACUAGGGAGAGUCAUUCGAUACUGCUCGACUCGAAGGCAGGAGAGGGAAGUGGAAUUCCGGGUGUAGUGGUGAAAUGCGUAGAUAUCAGGAAGAACACCGGUGGCGAAAGCGCUCUGCUAGGCCGCAACUGACACUGAGGGACGAAAGCUAGGGGAGCGAAUGGG
rnacentral:rRNA from 1 species